rnacentral:rRNA from 1 species
UACGGAGGGAGCUAGCGUUGUUCGGAAUUACUGGGCGUAAAGCGCACGUAGGCGGCUAUUCAAGUCGGGGGUGAAAGCCCGGGGCUCAACCCCGGAACAGCCCUCGAAACUAGAUAGCUAGAAUCUUGGAGAGGCGAGUGGAAUUCCGAGUGUAGAGGUGAAAUUAGUAGAUAUUCGGAAGAACACCAGUGGCGAAGGCGACUCGCUGGACAAGUAUUGACGCUGAGGUGCGAAAGCGUGGGGAGCAAACAGG